rnacentral:rRNA from 1 species
CUUCGGCCCGAGUUGUAAUUUGCAGAGGAUGUUUAUGGUGCGGUACCUUCCGAGUUCCCUGGAACGGGACGCCACAGAGGGUGAGAGCCCCGUCUGGUUGGAUAUCAAACCUGUGUUAAACUCCUUCAACGAGUCGAGUAGUUUGGGAAUGCUGCUCUAAAUGGGAGGUAAAUCUCUUCUAAAGCUAAAUACUGGCCAGAGACCGAUAGCGCACAAGUAGAGUGAUCGAAAGAUGAAAAGCACCUUGAAAAGGGGGUUAAACAGUACGUGAAAUUGUUGAAAGGGAAGCGUUUAUGACCAGACUUGUGUCGUGUGGCUCAUCCGAGGUUCUCCCCGGUGCACUCCACGCGGCUCAGGCCAACAUCGGUUCUUGUUGGAGGAUAAGAACAGUAGGAACGUAGCUCUCUUUCGGGGGAGUGUUAUAGCCUAUUGUACGAUACUCUGACGGGGACCGAGGACCGCGCUUCGGCUAGGAUGUUGGCGUAAUGGUCAUUAGCGACCCGUCUUGAAACACGGACCAAGGAGUCGUCCAUUAGAGCGAGCGUUUGGGUGUAAAACCCGCACGCGUAAUGAAAGUGAAAUUAGGUGAGAGCUUCGGCGCAUCAUCGACCGAUCCUGAAGUUUACGGAUGGAUUUGAGUAAGAGUUUUAACGGACGGACCCGAAAGACAGUGAACUAUGCUUGAAUAGGGUGAAGCCAGAGGAAACUCUGGUGGAGGCUCGCAGCGGUUCUGACGUGCAAAUCGAUCGUCAAAUUUGAGCAUGGGGGCGAAAGACUAAUCGAACUGUCUAG